UUACUACAAUAAAUCCCUCUGCCGUAGCUUGACAUGCACUUUCAAAAAUGUGUAACUUUGCAUCAAGGCAACGCAGACCGCAAGGACUGUGAUUGGUCAAGUCAUCCUGUGUGUUGAUAGUCGGUGUUUCAAGCCGCAUACUGUGGGGAGUAGCAACAUGCUAGUUCACUGACAUAAGCUUUGCAAAUAAACUCAGACAUAUUUUGGUUACAAUGUCGGACGGGGUUAUGCGUUUGUAAAGUGUCUAUAUAUUAGUACGUUUUGAAAUUAGCACUUUACCAGCAAGCAGUACUUUGUGGGCAGUUGUGUUAAAGUUUGCUCGCUAACAGAACAUAAACUGGCUA